CAGAACUGCAGAUCUUCAAACUGUACCCCAACUCCUCAAAUAGCAUUCCUGUCAGUCUUCAGUGCAUCCUCCAAUAUUUUAACAGCCUACCUAGACAAUGAUCUUUGCAUUGAAAACAAAUCAGAAGAAAAUAUUAUGUGCUACGAACCAGAGACUGUUUCAGAAGCAGCUGCUGAACAACAGUACUUCUACCAUGUGUGUCACCUUAGCUGAGCCCCCUUUCAGUCCUCUGCUUGUGAGUAUCCCUCUUUCUGCCCUGGGUGCUUUUUGGGACGGUGCUGUCUGCAAUUCUCAUCUCAAUCCAGCGAUCUCUCAGAGCACGGAGGUAAGAAACGUAAGUACCAACGUUUGCUAAACAACAAGCUAGCAUAUUCAAUAGGAGAUGUGAAACCCAGGCAUCUUUAAAGAUUUGUAUUUUUUUCAAUUUGUAAACAAAAGAGAUGCCUGGAAGUGUGGGGAGAUGCAGGGAGCACAAGUGAGGCAGUAAUUUCCCCCACAGUUGGUAUC